rnacentral:tRNA from 1 species
ACGGGCAUAGUUUAAUGGCAAGAACGGAAGUCUCCAAAACUUUUAGUGUAGGUUCGAUUCCUGCUGUCCGUG